AAUACAAUGACAUAGCUGUGGUUGAUGAACUAUAUUUUAUCUAUUGCAAUGAUAUUUUGAAAUGCAGUGCUACUCAUUGAGUUUCCUUGUGAGGAGAUUGUGUGGCGAGGACCCAGCAAGACAAGCUACUAUCCCAAAAAAGCUACUUAUAUGAACUUCAUUUCCGGUUUCUUUCAAAUUGAAGUUUCUCCAGCAUUUGGCUCUAGGUGCCAAGGGCACAUGUGACAAGAAGGUGCCAGCUUUAUAAACCUUGGAACUUCUUCUGUGUCAGUUCUGAGACAUACAGUUUACUAAAACACAUCAUGAAGGCCUGUUUUGAAGAGAAGGGGAAUAAGACUGCAUCUGUUCAUAUGAGAUGAUUAUACCAAGGCAGAGAGUAGUUGUCAAAUGAAGUCUCAGACCAUAUUUGAAGCAGAAAAUCUGCUUUCCUGUCUUGGCAGUCUGACUCCACAAUCUUCUGUUAGAAACAAUUAUACUGUAAAAAUGGAAAAGAAAUAAAAUCCAAGAUUGGAGACUGAUUUUAACAUCGAUUCCUCUUAAACCAUUAAGUAAUCAAAAAUAAAUUAAAUAGAGAAAAAUAAAACCAAAUAUUCAUAUAUGAAGAUCUAGACUCUUCAAUGGAAAACGUGUUUUUUAAGUAGCCCACAAUAGUUACACAAUUGCUGAGUAUUUUAACUAAAAAAUUAAUAUUUAACAAUUAAGUAAACUCAAGAGAAAAACUUAGUCAAAGGUCUCAGCAUGAGAGAUAAGUUUGAAAAAUAUUGAAAAUGGGUUGAAAAGCCCAAAUGGGAAAAUAGGGCUAUUUUUACCUGGAUGAUGUCCCUGAAAUUAAUUUUCCAUUUUGGAAAUUAUAGGACAACAAUUUCUUCUAUCCAUGAGUGAGUGAGUAUGUGUGUAUGGGUUUGAGUGUGUUUGUAUUAAUGAGCUUCUUAAGAAUAAGUUAUGGCCGGGCGCGGUGGCUCACG
rnacentral:lncRNA from 1 species